rnacentral:tmRNA from 1 species
GGGGAUGACAGGUUUCGACGGAAUUGCACUUUGACACGCCGCAAGCCGAGUUUGACUAGUACUCGUUAAACAUAAGUCGAAAACAAUAAACGACGACCUUAACGGUUAUCGUCCCAACUUCGCAAUCGCGUAAGUUGGCAUCUGUGUUGUUUGCUUCUUGACCGAGCAACAACGGGUGUAAACCAGUCAAGAUGCCUCCGGCAACUGAUCAGCGCCGGCGUAAGAUUUGAUCUAGUAAACACUGUUACCUUUGCUUGUUGAGGAUGUGUUUACGAAAAAAUUCAACAAACUAAGCUUGUAGACGCAGUCAGCGUGUUUUUCCGGAUGAGGGUUCGACUCCCUCCAUCUCCACAU